GACCCGGUGGUGUAUGGGUAACACACCUCGCUUCAAUUAGUUUUCUGGUAAUGCCUAUCUCCGCAGGAGUAGCUCGUUCGAUUCGGGCCCGGGUCG